AGUGAACGCUGGCGGCGUGCCUAACACAUGCAAGUCGAACGAUGAAGUCCUUCGGGAUGGAUUAGUGGCGCACGGGUGAGUAUACCAUAGAUAAUGUACCUCUUAGUUCGGGAUAGCCACUGGAAACGGUGAUUAAUACCGGAUACUCCUUCUUGUCCUAAGGCAAGUCGGGAAAGUUUUUUCGCUAAGAGAUCAGUCUAUGUCCUAUCAGCUAGUUGGUGAGGUAAUGGCUCACCAAGGCUAUGACGGGUAUCUGGUUUGAGAGGAUGAUCAGACACACUGGAACUGAGACACGGUCCAGACUCCUACGGGAGGCAGCAGUGAGGAAUAUUGCACAAUGGAGGAAACUCUGAUGCAGCAACGCCGCGUGGAGGAUGACGCAUUUCGGUGUGUAAACUCCUUUUAAGAGGGAAGAUAAUGACGGUACCUCUUGAAUAAGCACCGGCUAACUCCGUGCCAGCCGCCGCAGUAAAAC
rnacentral:rRNA from 1 species